AGAAAGAAAGGAAGGGGACAGGACAGUAGAAAGGUCAUUAUAAUUAGACAGUAAAUGACUUUAUGUUUAGAGAAAGAUAUCUAUUUGAUGUCUAGUAAUUAUUGAGUGAGAAUGAAAACAGUCUGUUACUAAUGCAAUUCAAAAAUACCAGGACCUAACUAAGCAAUCACUGCAUCAAGUCAUAUCUUAAACCUUUUUGGAGUACAUGUACAUGUACAUCUAUACAUGUGAAUUACUAAACAUGUGUAGUUGUGUACUGUUAUGUGAGACAAAAUUUAUUAUUAUUACUACUAUUAUUUAAAGUAGAGGAAAACACAGAAGCCAUUCAGUCUUCUAGGAAUUUUACAAUGUGAUGUAUUUCUCAGCCUGUUCACACAACCUAAUAUGUUUUGGUGUUCUUGUAUCCUAAAUUCCACAUCAUUGCUACACAAUGAGCUAAUAGUUAAUUGGCUGAUGCUGGCAUAUCAUCUUUGCUGAGUCAUUCCUAGAGAAAUGGCUGAAUCAAAUGUAAGCAGUACUAAAGGAGGAAUAGACUUCGAAUGUUUCUGUAAAAGUGGCAUUCAAAGUUAUACUUUCAAUCCUGUUAAUUUGGCUGAUGAUGAAAAUGAAAAA